rnacentral:tRNA from 1 species
GCCUGGAUGGCUCAGUUAGUAGAGCAUGUGACUGUUGAUCUCAAGAUCGUGAGUUUGAGCCCCAUUUUGGAUU